UCUAUACUUGUGUUCUUUAGGUCAAAUUAUAAUAAAUAAAGAUGAUAUUGAUUGUGAUGACCAAGAGAUUCAUUUUAAGACACAUCAAUCUUCAUCAUCUUUAAAUAAGAAAGAUAAACAUGAUGAUCUCAAGCAAUAUGAUGACAAAUUUAAUCAUGGCCAAAUAUAAUAUGGCAGUUGGAAAAGGCAAAGGAUCUUUUUAGUCUAACCAAGCUAUACAACUUAAUAAAAGUUUAUUCGUCAUUGCUUUGGAUAAGAUGGUUUGUUAUUGCUUUUACAGAUUGUUAUGAGGAUUGCAAAAAAAUUAAAUUUUGGAAACUGAGAAGGAAUUGAUAACUAGAAGAUAACAAAAAAGCGCAAAAGUACUGAUUAUACAACUCUUUUAAAGUUGAGGAAGAAUUUUAUGUGGAAUGUUAAUGCAAAAGGUACGAAUAUUGACAUGUUAGCUAAUUUAAUGUUACAAUAAACAUGAAAUAAAGUUUGUGAAGAUCUUAGUGCUAGAAAUACUUGCAUGCAUUAUUCAUGCUAUAUUAUAAUAAAGCAUGGAUGCAUUCAACUUUAAAAAAAAAGUUACAAAUGUUUAAUUAUACAAAAAGAUUAUGGAUGUGGUACUGUAAGUAUAUUCAAUUGAUUAUGUAAGUAAGUCCUCCUUUACUUCUUUGAAUACUAAUAAUAAUUGUAAUGAAUAUAUCUCAAACAAUAUACACUCGUAUUUUCAUUUUAUUUGAACCAUCACCACUUCCACAGCCACCUUAUCUCAAGCAUUCAAUUGCAUUUUAAGAUAUCUUUAUUCAAAUCAAGUGUGACUACUAUAUCAAAAGACUGUAGAAUGUACCAAUCAAGCCCGAAAAUUGAGUUCUAAAAUACUAUUAUCCACAUAACUACUAUAUCAAAGCACAAACUAAUGGAUUGAUCAAAAAAGAGAUUGUACGACUUUAGUAUCCGCAAUACGGUAUCGUGCAUUGAUUACCAUCUUAGAAUGGCUUCCUUCCGUAUAAGUGGAAAUAGGAAAGGUUAUGUCCUUUUUUCUAAUUCUUAAAACGAAGAGCCUAAAUCGGUUUAUACAAAGAUGAAGAUGAUCAUUAUGGAGCCGAUCAUUAUGAGGAAUACGAUAAUGCAUAUAAUAAUAAAUAAAAUCAUUUUACUUGUAUCUUAAA